CGCCUCCACCUCCGCCUCUGCCUCCGUCACAAUUCCCUAUGGGAUUUCAGACACCACCCGCUUCAGUUGCCGCACCUGGAGAUGAGUCUGGGCAAGACGACACAACACAUUCGUGGGUCAACAACCUUUUCACCACGCAGAGUCCAGCCGGAGGAGGUGGCUACUCGAACCAUCCAGACGAUGGAUAUGAUUGAUGUGUCAUGAUGUUUAUUUAUGAAACACUUUGCAACACUUGUUUGUGAGACACAAUUUCAGUUUGCAACAACCGUCGAACCUAUAUGUUGAUGUUAAAUUUGUGAAUGUUAAUAUUUAUGUGAGAAUAUUUGUGAUUGUGAAUA